rnacentral:rRNA from 1 species
CCUACGGGUGGCAGCAGUGGGGAAUAUUGGGCAAUGGGCGCAAGCCUGACCCAGCAACGCCGCGUGAAGGAAGAAGGCUUUCGGGUUGUAAACUUCUUUUAAGAGGGAAGAGCAGAAGACGGUACCUGUUGAAUCAGCCACGGCUAACUACGAGCCAGCAGCCGCGGUAAUACGUAGGUGGCAAGCGUUGUCCGGAUUUACUGGGUGUAAAGGGCGUGCAGCCGGGAAGACAAGUCAGUUGUGAAAUCUCGCGGCUCAACCGCGGAACUGCAUUUGAAACUGGCUGUCUUGAGUACCGGAGAGGUCAUCGGAAUUCGUUGUGUAGCGGUGAAAUGCGUAGAUAUAAGGAAGAACACCAGUGGCGAAGGCAGAUGACUGGACGGCAACUGACGGUGAGGCGCGAAAGCGUGGGGAGCAAACAGGAUUAGAUACCCGAGUAGUC